UUAUUGCUCUUGAACGAGGAAUCCCUAGUAAGCACAAGUCACCAGCUUGUGCUGAUUACGUCCCUGCCCUUUGUACACACCGCCCGUCGCUACUACCGAUUGAAUGGCUUAGUGAGGCCCUCAGAUCGACUUUCUGAGACUGGCAACAGUCUCUGAUUGUUGAGAAGUUGGUCAAACUUGGUCAUUUAGAGGAAGUAAAAGUCGUAACAAGGUUUCCGUAGGUGAACCUGCGGAAGGAUCGUUAAUGAUUUGGCGAUCCUAACGUUAGUUAGGUUUUGCGAUCACUUAUUUAAAACCCAACUCUUAAAUGUAUAAUUUAUGUAUUUCUUGAUAAGAAAAAUAAAGAUCACUUUCAACAACGGAUCUCUUGGCUCUCGCAUCGAUGAAGAACGUAGCGAAGUGCGAUAAGUAAUGUGAAUUGCAGAAUUCCGUGAAUCAUCGAAUCUUUGAACGCAAAUUGCACUUUCUGGUAUUCCGGAAAGUAUGCCUGUUUGAGGGUCAGUUAAAUAAAAAUCGGUGUUAUUGCUAUUAUGGCGAUGCAUCGGAAUUGAGUCGUCUUUACCUUUGGUUUAAGUGACUUAAAAUUAUGUACGAUUUUUGAACGUAUUUAAAUUAUUUACGUACGUCCAUAAUAUCACAUAUUAGGUGCGAUCAUCCACAUGAUUUCGCGCCUAUAAUUUUUCAUUAUUUGACCUCAAAUCAGGUAGGAGUACCCGCUGAACUUAAGCAUAUCAAUAAGCGGAGGAAAAGAAAAUAACAAUGAUUCCCCCAGUAACUGCGAGUGAAGAGGGAAAAGCUCAAAUUUUAAAUCCGUUAGGUUCUACCUGACCGAGUUGUAAUUUGAAGAGGCGUUUUCUGAGGUUCUGAUCAGUCCAAGUCCUUUGGGAUAAGGCAUCAUGGAGGGUGAGAAUCCCGUUCGGUUGAUCAGAUCUUCUUUACGAUACGUCAUCAAAGAGUCAAGUUGUUUGGGAAUGCAGCUUAAAAUGGGAGGUAAAUUUCUCCUAAGGCUAAAUAACGGCGAGAGACCGAUAGCGAACAAGUACCGUGAGGGGAAGAUGAAAAGAACUUUGAAAAGAGGGUUAAAUAGUACGUGAAAUUGUUGAAAGGGAAACGAUUGAAGCCAGUCGUACCUGCGGGUAAUCAGCCUUUUGGGUGUGAUUAUGUGGAGCGUGAGGAGCUAAUCGCCUUCAUCUUUGCAUAUUCGUGCACUUUGGGUGUACUUGCUCGUGUGUAGGUUAACAUCAAUUUUGAUCGUCAUAAAAUGACUGGGGGAAUGUAGCUUCGAUCUCGUAUUGAAGUGUUAUAGCCUUUGGUAGAUGUGAUGAUUAGGAUUGAGGAUUGCAACGGAUACCCUUCGGGGCUACCUGUCUGAUCUCUGAAAGUUGCUCUGGUGCUGAAAGCGUGCUUAUGGUAUCAAAGUUGACGUUCAACAGGUUAGAACGGGAUAAGUUCGUUAAGGAUGUUGACGUAAUGGCUUUAAACGACCCGUCUUGAAACACGGACCAAGGAGUCUAACAUAUGUGCGAGUGUU
rnacentral:rRNA from 1 species